UUAGUUGCCAGCAUUCAGUUGGGCACUCUAAGGUGACUGCCGGCUAAAAGUCGGAGGAAGGUGGGGGAUGACGUCAAAUCAUCAUGCCCCUUAUGACCUGGGCUACACACGUGCUACAAUGGGCGGUACAAAGGGUCGCGAACCCGCGAGGGGGAGCCAAUCCCAAAAAGCCGCUCUCAGUUCGGAUUGCAGGCUGCAACUCGCCUGCAUGAAGCCGGAAUCGCUAGUAAUCGCGGAUCAGCAUGCCGCGGUGAAUACGUUCCCGGGCCUU
rnacentral:rRNA from 1 species